rnacentral:rRNA from 1 species
CAGGCCUAACACAUGCAAGUCGAACGCAGGACCUUCGGGUCCUGAGUGGCGAACGGCUGAGUAACACGUACGGACCUUCCCACUGGUGGGGGAUAACUGCGCGAAAGCGCGGCUAAUCCCGCAUACGCUCCCUGGAGGAAAGCCCUCGGGCGCCGGUGGCUGGACGUGCGGCCCAUCAGGUUGUUGGCGGGGUAAUGGCCCACCAAGCCGAUGACGGGUAGCUGGUCUGCGAGGACGACCAGCCAGACUGGGACUGGGACACGGCCCAGACUCCUACGGGAGGCAGCAGCAAGGAAUUUUCCCCAAUGGGCGCAAGCCUGAGGGAGCAACGCCGCGUGCAGGAUGACGGCCUUCGGGUUGUAAACUGCUUUUGUGGGGGAUGAUAUGGACAGUACCCCACGAAUAAGCCUCGGCUAACUCUGUGCCAGCAGCCGCGGUAAU